GAAAUGACUGGCCUGUGGGCCAACAUCAGUUUCUCCUAAGAAUGCCAGCUUGAUAUCUUCUAAGCAAUAUUUGGUUAACUUGUACUGGACUCUGGACCAUAUCAUGGACUGGCAGAAAGUGGAACUUUGGUUAAGAUGUGAAAGAAGCCAGGCAAGCUAGGAUCUUGUUCAUAAC